UACAGAGGUCUCAAGCGUUGUUCGGAUUCAUUGGGCGUAAAGGGUGCGUAGGCGGCGCGGUAAGUCGGGUGUGAAAUCUCGGAGCUUAACUCCGAAACUGCAUUCGAUACUGCCGUGCUUGAGGACUGGAGAGGAGACUGGAAUUUACGGUGUAGCGGUGAAAUGCGUAGAUAUCGAGAGGAACACCUGCGGCGAAGGCGGGUUGCUGGGCUGACACUGACGCUGAUGCGCGAAAGCCAGGGGAGCGAACGGG
rnacentral:rRNA from 1 species